AUUGUGUUCACACUCCGAGGAGCUAGUAACUUCCGUGUUCCUCUUCUUCCUAUAUUAUCUUGUAGCGUGCAGUUUUGUAAACAGUUUAACGCAUACGCUUGGUUAAUAUCCAGAAUCCCUGAACAGUUUGAUCAGAGCAACAUGCCGGAUCUGGAUAUGAAUAUCAGGGACCCUAACGACAUCAAUGACCAUAUCAAGGUGUCGUUUGAGGACGUGUUGGCAGAACCCGAUGGCGCUCACAGCUGCGACUGUGUCUGGCGAUGCAGUAGUUGUUGUUUCAACUGCAGCAAGAAUUGUUGCUAUAGAUUGAUGACGACGCUCUGUGGCAUGUUUAUCGCUCUCUAUUGGGGUUGCGAGUUUGCUUUCAUCACGUUUGAACAGGUCUGGUUCACCACACCUUGCCUGCGGGUUUUCAGUGUGUAUCUGAGCUGUUACCAGAAGUUGUUUGGUACAUUUAUUGCCUGCGUACUCACACCAAUCUGCGAAACAAUCGGUUUGAUAUUCAGCAAUAUUUCUAUUACGAGAAAAUGAGUGUUACAACAGUAUAUUCCGUGGUAUUUCUCGGAAUGAAAUGAUUCUUGAUUUUCUACAAUAUGACAAAUUCCUAUCACUCAAGUUUGUCUUCUUUAAUAAAUCGUGUUGUUUUUCC